rnacentral:rRNA from 1 species
ACGCGCCUCUCCUCCUCCCUCGUUUCUCUCUCCUCUGCCUCUCAGUUCUUUCUCUUUUCCCUUGUCCAUGAGAAGGAGCACGCAAGGAGCCUCGCCGCUGCUGCCACCACCACCACGGUUGUCUUCACGCCACCGCCGCCUCCGAGUUCGCCAGCCGCUGCUCAGAUCUGCGGGAUCCAUGUCCCCAAGCCGCCGGUGUCCGUCCUCCGUCCCGGAUCUGGCUUGUCCACGCCCUUCGGCCUCCCCUGCGACCAGCGCCGGCACCCUCCCCACUGCCUCGUCUACAUGCGUGAGGACAACGAUGACAGCGCCACCAUCGACCGUCUGGGCCGUCCCUUGGCCUUGCUCGCGUGGGCCGCCGCGUGGGCAAGCCAGUCGUCGCCGGCGGGAGCGACAGUGAACGGGACUACUCUUUGCAUUCACUCUAUCCUGUCUGCAUCUCUGUUUUCCUCACCGGACUGA